rnacentral:rRNA from 1 species
UAAAGAAAGCAGAUCGCAUGAUCAGUUACUUUUAAAAGGGCGGACGUAAGCUGUCGCUAGUGGGGAUCGGCCCCGCGGUGCAUUAGCUAGUUGGUAAAGGUAAAAGGGCUUACCAAGGCGAUGAUGCAUAGCCGAGUUGAGAGACUGAUCGGCCACAUUGGGACUGAGACACGGCCCAAACUCCUACGGGAGGCAGCAGUAGGGAAUCUUCCACAAUGGACGCAAGUCUGAUGGAGCAACGCCGCGUGAGUGAAGAAGGUUUUCGGAUCGUAAAGCUCUGUUGUUGGUGAAGAAGGAUAGAGGUAGUAACUGGCCUUUAUUUGACGGUAAUCAACCAGAAAGUCACGGCUAACUACGUGCCAGCAGCCGCGGUAAAU